AUUUUCAAGCCAGUUCAUCCCUCUGCACUUCUCCGAGGAUCCACCACGAGAGCUCGCGGCGAAGCGCCGGAAAAUGACGAAGCUCUUCGCGUUUGAGAAGAUGCCCAGAAUUGGUGGAGUGCUUCUUUCAAUUCCCAGUACUUGAAAGAAUGUUGGAUUAACUUUCAAGGUGCACCUCGUCCAGGAGUGUCUAAAGAAAAAUUUUGUAGUGGUAGAUGGUGCAAAUGUUGGCCUCACUAAUCAACGUAAUUAUAAUCUCCCAGGCGCCCUUGCUUUGUUUUACAUUCCUUUUUUGUUUUCUUAUACUCCCCUUGAUUCUUUUCUGAGGUGACCGUGGAAGAAUGCGUUUGGAGUUAAGGAUGUAUUUUGAUGUGUUUUAGAAUUAAGAAAAAAGAAGAAGAACAAACUACUUGUAUAGCAAUAUGCAUCGUUUGAUCUUUUUAACGAGGAAUUGCUACUUCCAUAAUUUAGCAUAACGUUUAGUGCAUAGUUUGCCUCUCUACAUCCACGAGGUAGGGGUAAGGUCGCUCUAUCCUUCCCAUGUGGGAUUUCAUUGGGUAUGUUGUUGUUUGGUGCAUAGAAUGGCUGAAAGAAAUAGUAGAAUUUUGAAGCAACAAGAGACACAUUCUUAGCCAUAAGUUUAGAGCUUUUUCUUUCCUAGCUCUUUGGUGCAACCUAAAUUUUGUACAUGAUGUAAAUGGCAUGUUAGAUACUAUCGAGGAAUUGCACAAUCUGUAACUCUGUUUUGUAGCUCUAGCUCAGUGUUAUUUUCUCUGUAACAAAAUUCUUUAUUACUUAUCAGGAAAAACUUUUUUUGGUAGUCUUUUUUUGUAUCACCUAGAAAUUUGUCUGGGCCCAUCCCUUAUGACUAAAUGCAACCUUCAAGACUCGGGGAUAAUGAGCCAGCUUCUCUUCCAUUAUCCACUUUAAUACCAGGCUCGAUACAGGCUUAUCCUGCAGUGACAAUAUGUCAGCAACUUUGUCCAUCUAGUCAAGAGUAAAUUCUUCUCCACAUUGAUCAAUCCACUUGCUUAAGCUAAACGGCUUGAAGCUUGUUAAUUUGGCCUCGAAGCUGAAGUGGUUCAGAGAAAUUUAUAUGGUGCUUGGCUGUCUAAAUCUACCAUUUUGGCUCCUUAUGUUUUUUUCUGUCCUUUCUAUCUGUGCCUUUUUGUGUACAAUGGGUUUAUUAAUCGAUCAAUAAUGCCUCAACUUUACUGCAGUAAUAUCAUGGUACUCUUUAUUAAAUAAAUUGGUAGGCUUACAGAAGUCAAAGGGAA